rnacentral:lncRNA from 1 species
CACAUUUUUCUCUGUUGAAGUAAAAAAAAUCAUGAUUACAAGAACUGAUAUAAACCAGCACCGGGGGUGCUUGCUCCAUCCAUGCCUCUCUGGCCUUUAGAGAAAAUUGGAAGCAGGCUGAGACAGUCCCUUUGAACCAGUUCAGGGUCAGGGAGUGUGCUUUUUUCUUCCAUUGCAGCUUGGUCAUGCUUCUUGAUGUAAUUCGGGUUGACGUAACGAUAAAUUGAAUUCGAAGAAGAUUGCAAUUUAUAUAAUUCAAAUGGGUUUGGUUCAUGAACAACCACCAUCUUGUGUUGGAAAAUAGGUUCAUGAUCAUUGCUAAAGGUUCUAGCUAGGAUAAAAAAGGAGGAAGAGAUGCAAUCAAUAUACCCAUAUUAUGUAGUAGUUCUAUUUGUAUGUUAUUUAGUUUUAGAUUCUAAUAUUAAUUAAUUCUUCCUGUCAUUUAUAAUUUAAUCAAUCUAAUUAGUUUGUAUCGAUUGUAAGUCGUUUUUCAAACAGACAAACCUUCAUCCAUUUCAUACUUUUC